GCAAGGAAUUUUGUGCAAUGGGGGAAACCCUGACACAGCAACGCCGCGUGAGGGAUGACGGCCUUCGGGUUGUAAACCUCUUUUCUCAGGGAAGAAUAAUGACGGUACCUGAGGAAUAAGCUUCGGCUAACUACGUGCCAGCAGCCGCGGUAAUACGUAGGAAGCGAGCGUUAUCCGAAUUUACUGGGCGUAAAGUGGGCGUAGGCGGCCUUUCAAGUUGGAUGUGAAAUCUCCUGGCUUAACUGGGAGGGGUCAUCCAAUACUGCUAGGCUUGAGGACAGCAGGAGAAAGUGGAAUUCCCGGUGUAGUGGUGAAAUGCGUAGAUAUCGGGAGGAACACCAGUGGCGAAGGCGGCUCACUGGACCGACAUUGACGCUGAGGCGCGAAAGCGUGGGGAGCAAACAGGAUUAGAAACCCCUGUAGUCC
rnacentral:rRNA from 1 species